CGGGAAGUAGCUCAUUGGUAGAGCUCCCACUUCGUAAGCGGGAAGACCUGCGUUCGAUUCCCGGCUACUUAC
rnacentral:tRNA from 1 species